rnacentral:rRNA from 1 species
CACAUGCAAGUCGAGCGGAAACGAGUUAUCUGAACCUUCGGGGAACGAUAACGGCGUCGAGCGGCGGACGGGUGAGUAAUGCCUAGGAAAUUGCCCUGAUGUGGGGGAUAACCAUUGGAAACGAUGGCUAAUACCGCAUGAUGCCUACGGGCCAAAGAGGGGGACCUUCGGGCCUCUCGCGUCAGGAUAUGCCUAGGUGGGAUUAGCUAGUUGGUGAGGUAAGGGCUCACCAAGGCGACGAUCCCUAGCUGGUCUGAGAGGAUGAUCAGCCACACUGGAACUGAGACACGGUCCAGACUCCUACGGGAGGCAGCAGUGGGGAAUAUUGCACAAUGGGCGCAAGCCUGAUGCAGCCAUGCCGCGUGUAUGAAGAAGGCCUUCGGGUUGUAAAGUACUUUCAGUCGUGAGGAAGGCGGUGUCGUUAAUAGCGGCAUCGUUUGACGUUAGCGACAGAAGAAGCACCGGCUAACUCCGUGCCAGCAGCCGCGGUAAUACGGAGGGUGCGAGCGUUAAUCGGAAUUACUGGGCGUAAAGCGCAUGCAGGUGGUUUGUUAAGUCAGAUGUGAAAGCCCGGGGCUCAACCUCGGAAUAGCAUUUGAAACUGGCAGACUAGAGUACUGUAGAGGGGGGUAGAAUUUCAGGUGUAGCGGUGAAAUGCGUAGAGAUCUGAAGGAAUACCGGUGGC